rnacentral:rRNA from 1 species
AACACAUGCAAGUCGAACGAGAUCUUCGGAUCUAGUGGCGCACGGGUGCGUAACGCGUGGGAAUCUGCCCUUGGGUUCGGAAUAACAGUUAGAAAUGACUGCUAAUACCGGAUGAAGUCUACAGACCAAAGAUUUAUCGCCCACGGACGCGACCGCGAUCCGAUAACCUCAUCCGCACGUGCCAGGCACUCUAAGCAGACUACCCUUAACUAACC